GGUUAAGUUAGAAAGGGCGCACGGUGGAUGCCUUGACACUAGGAGUCGAUGAAGGACGGGACUAACGCCGAUAUGCUUCGGGGAGCUGUAAGUAAGCUUUGAUCCGAAGAUUUCCGAAUGGGGAAACCCACCAUACGUAAUGGUAUGGUAUCCUUAUCUGAAUACAUAGGGUAAGGAAGACAGACCCAGGGAACUGAAACAUCUAAGUACCUGGAGGAAGAGAAAGCAAAUGCGAUUUCCUGAGUAGCGGCGAGCGAAACGGAACAUAGCCCAAACCAAGAGGCUUGCCUCUUGGGGUUGUAGGACAUUCUAUACGGAGUUACAAAGGAACGAGGUAGACGAAGCGACCUGGAAAGGUCCGUCGUAGAGGGUAACAACCCCGUAGUCGAAACUUCGUUCUCUCUUGAAUGUAUCCUGAGUACGGCGGAACACGUGAAAUUCCGUCGGAAUCUGGGAGGACCAUCUCCCAAGGCUAAAUACUCCCUAGUGAUCGAUAGUGAACCAGUACCGUGAGGGAAAGGUGAAAAGCACCCCGGAAGGGGAGUGAAAGAGAUCCUGAAACCGUGUGCCUACAAAUAGUCAGAGCCCGUUAACGGGUGAUGGCGUGCCUUUUGUAGAAUGAACCGGCGAGUUACGAUCCCGUGCGAGGUUAAGCUGAAGAGGCGGAGCCGCAGCGAAAGCGAGUCUGAAUAGGGCGUUUAGUACGUGGUCGUAGACCCGAAACCAGGUGAUCUACCCAUGUCCAGGGUGAAGUUCAGGUAACACUGAAUGGAGGCCCGAACCCACGCACGUUGAAAAGUGCGGGGAUGAGGUGUGGGUAGCGGAGAAAUUCCAAUCGAACCUGGAGAUAGCUGGUUCUCCCCGAAAUAGCUUUAGGGCUAGCCUUAAGUGUAAGAGUCUUGGAGGUAGAGCACUGAUUGGACUAGGGGUCCUCAUCGGAUUACCGAAUUCAGUCAAACUCCGAAUGCCAAUGACUUAUCCUUAGGAGUCAGACUGCGAGUGAUAAGAUCCGUAGUCAAAAGGGAAACAGCCCAGACCGCCAGCUAAGGUCCCAAAGUGUGUAUUAAGUGGAAAAGGAUGUGGAGUUGCUUAGACAACUAGGAUGUUGGCUUAGAAGCAGCCACCAUUUAAAGAGUGCGUAAUAGCUCACUAGUCGAGUGACUCUGCGCCGAAAAUGUACCGGGGCUAAAUACACCACCGAAGCUGCGGAUUGAUACCAAUGGUAUCAGUGGUAGGGGAGCGUUCUAAGGACAGUGAAGUCAGACCGGAAGGACUGGUGGAGUGCUUAGAAGUGAGAAUGCCGGUAUGAGUAGCGAAAGACGGGUGAGAAUCCCGUCCACCGAAUGCCUAAGGUUUCCUGAGGAAGGCUCGUCCGCUCAGGGUUAGUCAGGACCUAAGCCGAGGCCGACAGGCGUAGGCGAUGGACAACAGGUUGAUAUUCCUGUACCACCUCUUUAUCGUUUGAGCAAUGGAGGGACGCAGAAGGAUAGAAGAAGCGUGCGAUUGGUUGUGCACGUCCAAGCAGUUAGGCUGAUAAGUAGGCAAAUCCGCUUAUCGUGAAGGCUGAGCUGUGAUGGGGAAGCUCCUUAUGGAGCGAAGUCUUUGAUUCCCCGCUGCCAAGAAAAGCUUCUAGCGAGAUAAAAGGUGCCUGUACCGCAAACCGACACAGGUAGGCGAGGAGAGAAUCCUAAGGUGUGCGAGAGAACUCUGGUUAAGGAACUCGGCAAAAUGACCCCGUAACUUCGGGAGAAGGGGUGCUUUCUUAACGGAAAGCCGCAGUGAAUAGGCCCAAGCGACUGUUUAGCAAAAACACAGCUCUCUGCGAAGCCGUAAGGCGAAGUAUAGGGGGUGACACCUGCCCGGUGCUGGAAGGUUAAGGAGAGGGGUUAGCGUAAGCGAAGCUCUGAACUGAAGCCCCAGUAAACGGCGGCCGUAACUAUAACGGUCCUAAGGUAGCGAAAUUCCUUGUCGGGUAAGUUCCGACCCGCACGAAAGGUGUAACGAUUUGGGCACUGUCUCAACCAGAGACUCGGUGAAAUUAUAGUACCUGUGAAGAUGCAGGUUACCCGCGACAGGACGGAAAGACCCCGUGGAGCUUUACUGUAGCCUGAUAUUGAAUUUUGGUACAGUUUGUACAGGAUAGGCGGGAGCCUUUGAAACCGGAGCGCUAGCUUCGGUGGAGGCGCUGGUGGGAUACCGCCCUGACUGUAUUGAAAUUCUAACCUACGGGUCUUAUCGACCCGGGAGACAGUGUCAGGUGGGCAGUUUGACUGGGGCGGUCGCCUCCUAAAGUGUAACGGAGGCGCCCAAAGGUUCCCUCAGAAUGGUUGGAAAUCAUUCGUAGAGUGCAAAGGCAUAAGGGAGCUUGACUGCGAGACCUACAAGUCGAGCAGGGACGAAAGUCGGGCUUAGUGAUCCGGUGGUUCCGCAUGGAAGGGCCAUCGCUCAACGGAUAAAAGCUACCCCGGGGAUAACAGGCUUAUCUCCCCCAAGAGUCCACAUCGACGGGGAGGUUUGGCACCUCGAUGUCGGCUCAUCGCAUCCUGGGGCUGUAGUCGGUCCCAAGGGUUGGGCUGUUCGCCCAUUAAAGCGGUACGCGAGCUGGGUUCAGAACGUCGUGAGACAGUUCGGUCCCUAUCCGUCGUGGGCGUAGGAAAUUUGAGAGGAGCUGUCCUUAGUACGAGAGGACCGGGAUGGACGCACCGCUGGUGUACCAGUUGUUCUGCCAAGGGCAUAGCUGGGUAGCUAUGUGCGGAAGGGAUAAGUGCUGAAAGCAUCUAAGCAUGAAGCCCCCCCUCAAGAUGAGAUUUCCCAUAGCGUAAGCUAGUAAGAUCCCUGAAAGAUGAUCAGGUUGAUAGGUUCGAGGUGGAAGCAUGGUGACAUGUGGAGCUGACGAAUACUAAUAGAUCGAGGACUUAACCAU
rnacentral:rRNA from 1 species